ensembl:lncRNA
CCCCUGGUUUAGUGGGUGGCAAUGGGAGCCAUACUGGAAUUCACCAGGAACAGUAACGGCACAAAAAUAAUCAGAAAUACAGCAAUUGCACCAUAUUGCUGCAGUACCUGCAGUAACUGAGAUGCUACACUGGUCUGUUGUAGUAAAGAGAGAGUUGACAAUUUACAGCUUGAUCUGAUCAUUCAGUAAGGGCUCAGAGUAGAGACUUUAAUCCUCCACAUUGGAAAGUAUUAAUUUGAGGUGAUUGAGAAUCUGACCUGGAUGUCUCCUGGGCACCUCCUACAGUAGGUGAGGAGUUUGGGGCGUGCCCUUCUGGCAAUAGGUACUGGGGGCAGAUCCAGGACACAUUGAAGGUUUUAUAUCUCUGGUGUGGCUUGUUGUGUAUUUAUUUAAAUUAUUUUACUAACAGUGUUGUAUGUUAUUAUUAUUUUAAUACAGCGUUGUUAUGUUUGCAGCUAUUGGACCUGCAGUAAUCUAAAUGUUCUUCGUUGAACAGGAAGUGAUGCAGAUGCAGUCUACAGCAGUGAGAACAUAUGAAGAUGUCAGUGAUGGACAAAUAGCCAACAGACCAAAUGGCACGAGAGGUGCAGUAGUCCACCAGUCCAACUGCCGCAAUCCAGCUGCUUGUCUCUAACUGACUCCCCCAACACCUCAGACCAGAGGACAUCAUAAUGUUCAAAAGUAUAUUUUAUUUAUAUCCCUGUGUUAAUUACAAUAAACGCAACCAAAAAAAAAAAACCUACAUAUUACUUAAAGGCACAACCACACACUUAUUUAAAAGACAAAUACAAACUUACAGUUGUUUGUCCUCAGUGAUCAAUGUUACUUGUAUGUCGUUCAUAUUUGUCUGAUCCUGCUCUUAUUCCCACAGUAGAGAUUGUGCUUAGUAAAAAACAAAAAACAAAAAAAAAUCAAUAUUUUUUCUUGUGUGGUUCUGUGGGUUUCAACAAAGUUUCAGAUGAAAAAUGUAAGUUGUUCUGUUUUGAUUGUGGCUAACCGAUACACUUCUCUCUUCAGUGCAGGAAAUAAAGAAUUAACUUCUUAAACCGCAACCUCAGACUAAGAACAGCAUGAAAACCCUUGAGUGGCUGCAAACUGCGCAGAAAGCCUUAGUAUAUGACUUAUGUGUUUAAAGCUGUGUGUAAAGCCCAAGCUGGAAAUGAGUCCCAUUUAAAGUUUGCUGCCUUCUAUUUCUUAAAACUGGGUCUUACAGCAUAGCAGCUACUUUAUAAAUGGCAACAGUUUAAUCUUUUUAACAUCACUACUAUUGUCACUAUAAAAUGUGAUACUUACCUGGUUCUUCAUAAAUAAUGCAAAUUACCCAUCCAUGUUCUUCCACUUAUCCAAUCACAGUUGAGCUUGACUCCAUCCUCAACCCGAAAAGGCCCCACAAGCUCAUCUUUGAUGAUACCAGCCCAAACCAGUACUCCACCUCCACCUUGCUGGCGUCUGAGUGGGACUGGAGCUCUCUGCCCUUUACCAAUCCAGCCACGGGCCCAUCCAUCUGGCCCAUCAAGACUCACUCUCAUUUCAUCAGUCCAUAAAACCUUAGAAAAACCAGUCUUGAGGUAUUUCUUAGCCCAGUCUUGACGUUUCAGCUUGUGUGUCUUGUUCAGUGGUGGUCGUCUUUCAGCCUUUCUUACCUUGGCCAUGUCUCUGAGUAUUGCACAAUGUUAGAUUAUAAUAUUAUUUUAUGCCAUGUUAGACCCCUAAUUAAAGAUUGUGAAUUAUUAUGUAGUUUUAGUUUGCAUUAUUCUCCUGAAUUAGAAGAAGCUGAUAACUAUUGCAUUAGUUAAACUGAUUUGCAUUACAUUAAAUUGCUGAUUUAUUGUGAAUGAAUGA